GGAUCCAUUCGAUUAGUGAACGGAUCC
rnacentral:misc_RNA from 1 species